CCCGUCUUCUCGAAAACAAUGUAUUAUGUUGCAGUCAUGAAACACAAUUUUGAAAAGGUGACUUUUAAUUUUUCAUCGAUGUUAACCUUUGUCUUGUUAUGAAAUACUUCAAUUCAACAAAUAUUGUUAGGUAUCUACAACUGCACUAGGCAAAAAGUGUUAGGAAAAUGAAUUCGACAGGAACUCUUCAGACAUGUUAGCAAUCUAGUUACCAUAAAGGCAUUAAGCGAUAAAAAGUAAUUUUAAGGGCUUAUCAUCUCUUGCCUGGAUUAUUAUAACAGACUCUCACUGCAUCUCUGUCUCCUGUAUCCCACCCUUCAGUUUAUUUUCUGCACCAUUGCCAGAAUGCUCUGUCUAAAGCACAAAUUCAAUCAUGCCUUUUGCUUCCUAAACUUAUUUGGCUCCCCUUGGUCUGAAGCACUGAUUCUCAACCAUGACUGCACAUUAAAAUCGCCCUGGUGAGUUUUUUAAAAGCUCCAGUGCCCAGACCUUCCUCCCCACCAUAAAGCCAUGCAGUUCCUGAUUUAAUUAGUCUUGGGCAGCACCAAAGCAUCUAUUUUUCAAAGCUCACAGAAUUAAGCAUCUUAGAAUGGCAUAUAAUGUCAUUCUAUGGAAAGGUUGAGGCUAUGUUUCCAGCCAUUUCUUACCACUUUUUCGAAGUGAACUCUGAAUUUUAGGCUGUUCUUUGAAAAUGUAACAAUAUUUCACAACUCUGUUUUUACCUAUGAUUUUUCUUUCCAUUGUCACCUAGAGUUCUCCCACUUAUCCUUCAAAAUUCUAUCCAGUCAGUCACUGAGGUAGCCUUCUCUGUCUUCUCUAAGGCAGAGGUAGGUGCUCUAUCCACAGUAGGGGAAGAAGCAGCCCACAUACAGGUAAACAUGGAGAGAUUCAGUCCUGCAGCACAGUGAGCCCUGUGCCAGUGCCCAAGGUGCUGUGAUGAACAAGGCAGUUGUCAUCUACCCUUCCUAUCUUGGCUCCUCUUUACUUCAUGCUCAUCUUCAGCACUUCAUUGUCAUGCCCUCUCCUUCACAUUGUAUUUAUCAACAUCCAAGAACAUUCCAGGCCUUUGCACAAUUUAUUGUCUUUGUACAUGCUGAUCCCACUAUCUAAGAAACAGUACCUUUGUUUAGAUGUAAAUGUCUUCAGAGCGCUUAUGACCAAUUGGAAGGGCCGUCUUCCUGUUUCUUGUGUUCCCCAGGUAGCAACUGAAGAAGGUGCAGGCCAAUGAGACAUUACGUUAAUUUUUGACUCAGCAUCUUCCUUUUAGGUUGACAUAUCUGAUGUAGCUGAUAGGACUCAGAGUGACUCCCUCUGACCACCUGGUACUUCUCUCUGUCUUUUUUUUUUUUUUUCAGACAGAGUUUCACUCUUGUCACCCAGGCUGGAGUGCAGUGGCACUGAUCUUCAGCUCACUGCAACCCCCGCUUCCCAGGUUCAAGCAAGUCUCCUGCCUCAGCCUCCUGAGUAGCUGGGAUUACAGGCAUGUGCCACCACACCUGGCUAAUUAUAUAUUUUUAGUAGAGACAGGGUUUCACAUGCUGGCCAGGUUGGUCUCUAACUCCUUACCUCAGGUGAUCUGCCCGCCUUGGCCUCCCAAAGUGCUGGGAUUACAGGUGUGAGCCACCGCACCUGGCCUGGUACUUCUCUUGAAAGUGGCACUUGGAACAGCACAAACUCUUCAUCCGUAGAAAUUUCACUGGGUAUUUCAGGUGAGUUCUCCUGAAUUCAGACCUCCAAAUCUUUGACUGGAGAUCUAGACUGUAUUUGAGCUGCUUUCAAACCCUCUCUUUUUUUAAAAAAGUGAGAAUUUUGGUCUCUUCUUUAGACAGGAUUUCAGGUAAAGAGCUCUGCAGAGAACCACCUUUUAUUCUGCCUCUGUCUCACAGCAGACGUUUAGGUCAAAGGUUUGGCAAGUAGGCACCGGUGGUUUCAUUUUACAUAGCAAGCUUUUAAGAUUGCAGCUGUUUUCUAUUGCUUGAAACUUUGGAUUUAGCUUUUCAUUUGUGACCAACUCCUCUUAGUUUCUAACUGAAAAGUGUGCCCCCAUUUGCUCUUCUGCAUGAGUAUAAUAUGAGAUACCUUGAGCACUCUGCUACCAUCUCGCAGUUAGAGGCAGUCCAAGAUACAUCACACCUCAACCCUAAAUACGUUCCUGGCCUCAAUCGCUUUUGAAAAGCUUCCGAAUUAUGGAAAAUCAAACUUCAAAAUCUAAACACUUUAAAAAAAAUCAGAUGAAUUCAUGUAUAACAUUAUGGGACAUCCUUUUGUAAAUAUCUAGGAAAAUGAAGCCACCUAACCCUGAAUAGUCAUUAGAAUCAGUAUUCAAAAUAUAGAUUCUUUGAAAUGUCUGAAAUACUUUAUUUGCACACACAUUUAGAAAAACUGGUUUUAGAACCAAACUGAAUGAGAGACCUAGUUUAUAUUUGUCCUGCCUAAAAUCUGAUAAGAGAAAGCUAAUUUUCGGCUCUACUUCUAAUCUCUUUCUGCUUUUCCUCUUUUGGAUCCUGUUUCUGGGAAUUUUUUCUUUUGACUAAAACCCCCUUUUAAAUGUUUUUUGCCCCUCUGUUUGCUUACUAUUGAAACCGCCUUUGCAAAAUUAUGACUGAGACAGUGAAAGACAUCUAACUUAACCGACUUCAUCUUGCUUCUAACCUCCAAGCUGUCCUGGUUCAUUCCUGGGCAUAGGCUGAACUAACUUUGGGAGAAAUUUAGUUUAUAGUUUGAACAAAGACAGUAACAUCCCUUUCCCAAAGCAGACCUCCUUCUUGUCUCAGGACUAGAUUGCCUCUGUAGGACUAACAUUAGCCACAAGAUUAGAAAUUAUGGUUUAGGAGCCCUGCAGCUGGAGGCUAUGUGAUUCUGACCAUCCCUAAACUGCUACUAAGAUCAGUGCUUGAGAUAUUUUGCAGACUCUGCACUUGAUGGAUCAGCUGGCACCACCCAAAUCAAUAAACUGCCUCAUCUGAUCUUGUGGCCCCCACCCAGGAACUAACUCAGCACAAGAAGACAGCUUUGACUCCCUGUGAUUUCAUCCCUGGCUAAUCAGCACUCC
rnacentral:lncRNA from 10 species